rnacentral:rRNA from 1 species
CACGUAGGGUGCAAGCGUUGUCCGGAAUUAUUGGGCGUAAAGAGCUCGUAGGCGGUCUGUCGCGUCGGCUGUGAAAUCCCGAGGCUCAACCUCGGGUCUGCAGUCGAUACGGGCAAACUAGAGUAUUGCAGGGGAGACUGGAAUUCCCGGUGUAGCGGUGAAAUGCGCAGAUAUCGGGAAGAACACCCGUGGCGAAGGCGGCUCUCUGGGACGGUACUGACGCUGAGACGCGAAAGCGUGGGGAGCGAACAGG